AAUAUCGCUUCCCCUUCCUUGUCAUCCAUCUCCAAACUCCAAUCCAGAUCGAGUGGCCGUCCGCCGCUCCGCGCCUCCGCUCUGCUACCUGCGCCUGCGCGUCGUGCUCCCUGCGUCCAUCCCUCGCCACGCCUUGCCGCACCAACAGCGCUCCCUGCACCUCCGCCUCCCUCCCCAAUCCGUCCCAUCUCCUCGCCCGCCGCCCUCGCCUGCCAUCCUGCCAGCAGAGGUGGCGCCGCCGUUCUCCUGCUCCCGCUGCAUUCGCUCACCGGUGAGCAUCCUAAUCCAUCCCAUCCGGCCUCGGCCUCGUCCUCGAAUUUCGUCUCCUCGCCCGGCGUCCUCCUGCAUCCACCGCAUCAUCGCUCGCCGUUGGGGAUCCCACUGACUUGCUGAUUGCAACUGUCAGUGUGGUGAUUGGACUGCAUCAGUUGUGGGAAUUGAACUGGUCAAGUCUCAGACUAAUACAAUGCAAGGCAUUUUUGCAUGUGGUUCAAUUUCCUCGGCCCAUGGAUCAUGCUUUAGACCAGCUUGUCUUGCAGUGGAUGAUCUGAGGCUGUUUUACAAAAUAAAUUCAGUAACCUGUGGAGCGUACUCGUGGCGUUGGUGUGUGAAAAAACUACAUAUGAGGACCAAUAGAAGGCAAAUGGGUACUACGGUGAGAACUAAUGCUAGAUGGCUAUUUGGAGGAGAUGGCCGUAGCAGUAGUAAUGCAAGGAUGGAACGCAGUGAGUCUGCUAACGAAGACAUCUUAAUCUUCUACUUCCAAUUGGACCUACAAACCCGGAUACAGUAUGCAUUGAAUAUAGAGCAAUUUGAUGUGGCAAAACAAUUGAGGGAAAAACUCACAGAGAUUGAAACAGUGAUAAUUAGGCAACGUGAAGCUAAAAGAGGCUCAUCAAAGACUGAAGCUCAGGACAAAGCUAUAAACCUUUUACGCGUGCGUGCGGAUUUGCAAAAGGCCGUUGACAGUGAAAACUAUGCUUUGGCAGCUGCACUGCGUGAUGAAAUUGCUAAACUUGAGACAGAGUCUCUGGCAGUCUCCGCUAAGGCCCUUGCAUAUCAAAAUGUGAAAUAUGCAUUUCGACUAGGGCAGAAAGUACGCCAUAAGGUACACGAGCUGUGAUUUGUGGCAUGGAUCAUGUGUGCUGUGAAUCCAAGUCAUGGAUGGAGACAGCAAAUGUGGAAAACUUGUCCAAAGGACCGAAUCAACCUUUUUAUCAAGUCCUUGUUGAUGUAUAUGCUGAUCCAGAACUCCUUGUUGCAUAUGUUGCAGAAGAAAAUCUUGCAGAGGCUGAAAUACCAGAGAAAGGAAGAUUUGAUCACCCCUAUAUUGAAUUUCUGUUUUUUGGCGAGGACACUGCUGGGGACUUCAUUCCUAUCAAGCAGCUUCGUGAGAAGUAUGAUCAGCCACGUUAUGAAGCUUCUGGGGAUGAAGAUGACGAUGAUGGCAGCACGGAUAGCUGAAAGGUAGGCAGCAAGAGUUGUUUUGAUGCCAUUUCCGAUGCCUUACCACCGACUGAGUUCCGAAAUGGUGGAGGAGCUUGACAGCUUGUUACUAUCUGAUGUAACUACAGCGGGCUAAUGUCAGUGAAGACUGGUGACUGGGCUAACCUGGAACCUGAACAAUCCACAGCAAUCUGCAAUGAGGCAAUCUGCAUUUGAUAUAUUGAUAUCUGACCUUGCAGAUUCACGAUUGAGGAUAACACCCAUAUAGUGGCCAAUCCAUGAAGCCCUUUACAUAUACGGUUCUAAAGAAGAUCCUUGUGGAUUUGCAGUCUGUACUUCCCCAAGUUCUUCUGUAACUGUGUUCCCUCUGAUGGGAAUUUUGUAGAUAAGCUGCAUUCAUCAAACCUGCAACUCUGCAGCUGCAGAGAAAGCAAAGGGUUGACGUACAUCUAUUGGAAAGUUGGAAUAUACUUACGUGGAAAACUGCAAACCACAGAAUUUUUGA